CUUGGUGGGUGGGGGGGUCUCUCAGCCCGGAUUGCCAGAGGGUGCGGGCCAGGCCAAGGGACCCCUCCAGUGCACG
rnacentral:pre_miRNA from 1 species